rnacentral:siRNA from 1 species
AAACUGUUGUUGGAGAUGACCUA